UUAGACCUGGUUUAGUCUUGGUUUAGACCUGGUUUAGACCUGGUUUAGUCUGUUUUGGUUCAAAUAUAUUUUUAGGGACAAUUAAGAUGUUUGUGGUUGCAUUUUUUUAUUUUUUUUUUUUUUAAUAAUAUUCCUCGCUUCUGACUGAACCGGGUCUAAACCGGGUCUAAACCAGGACUCAAGAGCCUCUGACAGAUACCAACACAAACUGGGGGCACAUUAUAAGACCAGGACUAAAUCAAGUCUAAACCAGGUCUCAGCCAGGUCUAAAGCAGGUCUGAACCUGGUCUCAACCAGGUCUAAAGCAGGUCUGAACCUGGUCUCAACCAGGUCUUAAGAGCCUCUGACAGAUUCUGAAACACAGACUGAGAUCAAGAAUAAUAUUGACCUGAACCAUCUUUAAACUGGCACUAAAGCAGGACUAAACCAGGACUAAACCUGGUCUCAAGAGCCUCUGACAGACACCAACACAGACUGGGAGCACAUUAAAGACCAGGACUAAACUGGGACUAAACCAGGAUUAAACCAUAUUUAAACUAGGAUUAAAGCAGGACUAAACCAGGACUAAACUGUGAACAAACUGGGACUAAACUGGGACCAAUGCACUGAGAGCACAUUAUUAAACCAGGACUAAACCAGGACUAAACCAGGACUAAACCAGGACUAAACCAGGACUAAACCAGGACUAAACCAGGACUCAAAAACCUCUGACAGAUACCAAUGCACACUGGGAAAUUAUAAAACCAAGACUAAAAUGGAACUAAACCAGGAUUAAACUCUUUAAACCAGGACUCAACCAGGUCUAAACCAGGUCUAAACCAGGUCUAAGCCAGGACAUACAGGUGGGAUUCUCUGUAACGGUCAGAUUGUUCUGUCCAGAUCUGUAGACCUGGUUUCUGGUCCAUGUGUCUGUAAUUCCCGGUUUGUGGAGCUGAUCCCAAACAAAUAAAAAUAACGAGAAGCUUCAAUAUUUGUGGAUCAGAAGUUUGGAGAUUUCUUUCAAAAACUCUGAAUCUCCCACAGAUUUUUACAAACUUCAUCUGAAAUUACGACAGAACGUGACUCAAACUCAAACUCAAAGCUCCAACUGUGCCCAUAUUUUUUAUUUUAAUACUUUUAAAAGCUGCACUGUGUAACUUUUCUAGUGGAGAGACCGUCUGUAUCGUUAUUCUGCCUGAAAUGUUCCGCAGUGUGACAUUAAACAGCUCUACUUUACAUUUAUUCAAUUACAGGUGGCUUUAAAGCUCAUAAAUACCUUGAAAAACACUGAUCUGACUGUGAGCGGCGUCGCCUCUCCACAGAUCUGACCUGUAACUCGGCCCUGUGGCGUCACCUGCCGUCUCCGUAGUGAUAAAUAAGUGUAAUGCCGCACUGUGGAACAUUGCAGGAAAGGUAGACAGUGCAUCUUUACUUGAGCAGUACUUUUAACAAAUACUUUUUUUUACUUUUACUUGAGUCAUUUCUCGGAUCACUACUUUGUGUUUCUACUUGAGUAAUUUUAUUUUGAAGUAACGCCACUUUUACUUAAAGGUGCACUGUGUAACUUUACGAAUCCAUGUGUCGUUCGUUCAUUUGUUUUUCAAUAUAAAACCAAAAAUAAGAAAAUGAAAGAAAAAAAUAAUAAUAAUAAUGUUUUCUUCAUUAUUUGUCUCCAAAACUAAAAUAAAAAAACAGAUUUUUGUUUUUGUUUUUUUCAGUUUUCGAUUUUGUGUUUAAAUGAAGAAUGGAAAAAAUGGAUUACGGACUGAGACCGGGACUGAGACCGGGACUGAGACCGGGACUGAGACCGGGACUGAGACCGGGACUGAGACCGGGACUGAGACCGGGACUAAACCAAGACUAAAACAGGACUAAACUGUUUUCAGUCCGGGUCCGGUCCUGGUCUGGUCCCAGUCUCAGUCCCAGUCUGGUCCCACUCCCUGUCUCAGUCCCGGUCUCAAUCACGGUGUGGUCCUGGUCUGGUCCUGGUCCGGUCCCGACCUCAGUCCCGGUCUCAAUCACGGUGUGGUCCUGGUCUGGUCCUGGUCCGGUCCCGACCUCAGUCCCGGUCUCAAUCCUGGUCUCAGUCCCGGUCUCAAUCAGGGUUUGGUCCUGAUCUGGUCCCAGCCUCAGUCUCGGUCUCAUUUCUGGUCCUAGUCCCGGUCUGAUCCCUGUCUCAGUCCCAGUCUCAAUCAGAGUCUGGUCCCGGCCUCAGUCCCGGUCUCACUCUUGUUCUGGUCCUGGUCACAGUCCCGGUCUGGUCCGGUCUCAAUCACGGUCUGGGCCUGGUCUGGCCUGGUCCCGGUCUAGUCCCAGUCUCAAUCACGGUCUGGUCCUGGUCUCUUCUCGGUCUCAGUCCUGGUCUUGGUCCCACUCUGAGUCCUGGUCUCAGUCCCAGUCUGGUUCCUGGUCUGGUCCUGGACCUGGUUCAGUCCGUGUGUUUGGUUUUAGAGACAAAUAAGAAAAUUUUUGUUUUUUUAAUUUUCUUAUUUUUGGUUUUAUUUUGAAAAACAAAUGAACGAAUGACACACAGAUUUUUACAGUUGCGGCUCCGUCACCUUCUUGUUUCUAUGGAGACGUCAUCGCUCUGCCUGGAAUGUCCCGCAGUGUGACUUUAAACAGCUCUAGUUUAUAUUUAUUCAAUCACAGGUGGAUC